rnacentral:lncRNA from 1 species
CUUUCAAUUUGAAUCCAUUCCUCCCAUCCUGUCACUGCAUGCUCUUGUAUAUAGUAAUUCUUAAAAGGUUAAGAUGAUACUUAUGUAAGCAAGUUAAGUUCCUUUUCUGUUUAUUUAGUUUUUAAAAGGACUAAAUUGCUAUUAAACAAGAAAGAAAUACCUACAUCCUUCAACCAAAAACACGUUAAAAUGAAUGAAGACAAUGCUGGCAGUGCUGGCUUUUGAUGAUACAGGUUAAAGUUGUCAGAAGCCUCUCAGCAAGUGACAAUGCUGUGUCCUGUUACAUGAUGGAGGUGACUCCCGUUGCCUCAGUACGUACUACUGAACUACCUGCCAAACAAUCUUUCUGCUUCAAGGCUACGUGUUUUCCAGGAAUAUUUCUAUCAGGGCAUUUCAUUCCUGUUUCAAAAUGUAAGGAAUAUCAGUGA